GACGAACGCUGGCGGCGUGCUUAACACAUGCAAGUCGAACGGAAAGGCCCUGCCUUUGGGGGGUGCUCGAGUGGCGAACGGGUGAGUAACACGUGAGUAACCUGCCCUUGACUUUGGGAUAACUUCAGGAAACUGGGGCUAAUACCGGAUAGGAGCUCCUGCUGCAUGGUGGGGGUGGGAAAGUUUCGGCGGUUGGGGAUGGACUCGCGGCUUAUCAGAUUGUUGGUGGGGGAGUGGCUUACCAAGGCUUUGCCGGGUAGCCGGCCUGAGAGGGUGACCGGCCACAUUGGGACUGGGAUACGGCCCAGACUCCUACGGGAGGCAGCAGUGGGGAAUAUUGCACAAUGGGCGGAAGCCUGCUGCAGCAACGCCGCGUGCGGGAUGACGGCCUUCGGGUUGUAAACCGCUUUCGCCUGUGACGAAGCGUGAGUGACGGUAAUGGGUAAAGAAGCACCGGCUAACUACGUG
rnacentral:rRNA from 1 species